AUUCUACAAACCGUACACAAAGAAAGAAAUUGAAUGGACUACUUUAGUUGACGCUAAACAACACAGAUAACAGGAAAUAACAAAAGGAAUGCAGCAACAAUUGUUAAUUAACACUUGUCUUUUACGAUUAAUUUAUACAUUAAUAAAGAUUACAGCCGCUGAGUGAGAACUCAGACUCUUAGAUGGCGUUUAACGCUAGCAAUAAAUGAUCGCUUUUUAUUUCAUACAGUACUCCGUGCACUGCGAUAGUUGAAUGAUGAGUGGAGAUGAUGAUGGAUUAAUGAGUGAGUUUAUGUUGGUAACGACACCAUUGAUAAGUGCCGCACGCGAUGACUGAAGUCCUAUUUCCGAUCGAGGAUAAAAGAGGAUCGUGUAAUAUUCUUAAAAGUCUGACGCAUUGACGCCAAUUUCAAACCCAUAAGCGGGAGCUAUAAAAUCUUUACGGGGAUGCGGGAUGAGGGGCCACACCCUCAUUCAGCUUCUGAAUGCUUUGACUGCAACUUGUUAAAAUCCUGCGUACGCCCCCUGGAUAUCAUCAUGCAAAUACUGAUACCCAUCUAAAAUAUGUGGGAAGUCUACCCAAAAUACUUACGAGGGAUAGCCACAGUAUAGCCGUUGGGCGUGGCUUUGACCCUAAUGCAAGACACACCUGAAGAAACAUGCUGUUUAGUGACUAGUACAGU